rnacentral:misc_RNA from 1 species
AGAUGUGUAUAAGAGACAGGUGAGUCAUCGAAUCUUUGAACGCACAUUGCGCCCUAUGGUAUUCCGUAGGGCAUGCCUGUUCGAGCGUCAUUUACACCUUCAAGCCCUGCUUGGUGUUGGGUGACUGUGGCCCCAUGGGCCACUCGCCUCAAAGUCAUUGGCGGCCGGUACGUAGGCUUCGAGCGCAGCACAUGUGCGUCCUCGCGCCUCUCGGAUCGGCUCCCAGAAGCUAAACCUCACUGUUUGACCUCGAAUCAGGUAGGGAUACCCGCUGAACUUAAGCAUAUCAAUAAGCGGAGG